rnacentral:rRNA from 1 species
GAGUUAGCAGAGAUGUUUGGUGCCUUCGGGAACUCUGAGACAGGUGCUGCAUGGCUGUCGUCAGCUCGUGUUGUGAAAUGUUGGGUUAAGUCCCGCAACGAGCGCAACCCUUAUCCUUUGUUGCCAGCGUUCGGCCGGGAACUCAAAGGAGACUGCCAGUGAUAAACUGGAGGAAGGUGGGGAUGACGUCAAGUCAUCAUGGCCCUUACGAGUAGGGCUACACACGUGCUACAAUGGCUAUACAAAGAGAAGCGACCUCGCGAGAGCAAGCGGACCUCAUAAAGUAGUCGUAGUCCGGAUUGGAGUCUGCAACUCGACUCCAUGAAGUCGGAAUCGCUAGUAAUCGUGAUCAGAAUGCACGGUGAAUACGUUCCCGGGCCUUGUACACACCGCCCGUCACACCAUGGGAGUGGGUUGCAAAAGAAGUAGGUAGCUUAACCUUCGGGAGGGCGCUUACCACUUUGUGAUUCAUGACUGGGGUGAAGUCGUAACAAGGUAACCAGUGAG